rnacentral:rRNA from 1 species
UACGUAGGGUGCGAGCGUUGUCCGGAAUUAUUGGGCGUAAAGGGCUCGUAGGCGGUCUGUUGCGUCGGGAGUGAAAACUCAGGGCUUAACCCUGAGCUCGCUCCGAUACGGGCAGACUAGAGGUAUGCAGGGGAGAACGGAAUUCCUGGUGUAGCGGUGAAAUGCGCAGAUAUCAGGAGGAACACCGGUGGCGAAGGCGGUUCUCUGGGCAUUACCUGACGCUGAGGAGCGAAAGUGUGGGGAGCGAACAGG